GGGAGCCCCACCAGUGCCUUCUCACAGAUGAAUGAAUAGAGGCCCAGAGAGGGUUUACCAUGAGGAUUACAAUAAUGUUUGCGAAGUGCCUCGCCCAGGACUCGGUAGAGACUUUUAUGGCUAGUUCCUGGACCCAAUUCCAACACUGGGGAGUGGGAGAGGGGUCCCCCCACAUGACACGAAGCAAUUCUCAGACACCGAGAACACAACUCAAUUCCAAUAUGAUCUCCCCGGAGAUGCAUCUGUUUCCAUGGGUUAAGGGCUCAGUCCUGUAAGACUGCCCUCUACCCCCCACUUCAGAUGCCAGGCACGACCCCCCCGGCUGUUACCAGUGCUUCUGACCAAAA